rnacentral:rRNA from 1 species
UACGGGGGGGGCAAGCGUUGUUCGGAUUUACUGGGCGUAAAGGGCGCGUAGGCGGUCACGACAAGUCAGUUGUGAAAUCUCCGGGCUUAACUCGGAACGGUCAACUGAUACUGUCGGACUAGAGUGCAGAAGGGGCAACUGGAAUUCUCGGUGUAGCGGUGAAAUGCGUAGAUAUCGAGAGGAACACCUGCGGCGAAGGCGGGUUGCUGGGCAGACACUGACGCUGAGGCGCGAAAGCUAGGGGAGCGAACGGG